CGGGGCGUGGCUCAGCUUGGCUAGAGCGCGACGUUCGGGACGUCGAGGUCGCUGGUUCGAAUCCAGUCGCCCCGACCA
rnacentral:tRNA from 1 species